UGUAUUAUAAAAUAUAUAAACAACAUAUAAUUAUAAUUAUUAAUAAAUCAUAAUGUAUAGCUGUAAUUACAUAUGUAAUACAUACACAGACAAAUUGGAAUUAGCUAUAGUACUUCUUGUGCCAUGAAUGUUACUUGUGAACUUCAUAUUAGUGGCUACAGAAUCUUGUGUAGCCUGGAUACACUGUACGUUUCACUAAUCCACCUCAUUUUUGCACAUACAAAGCUAGUGAGCAUUUUAAUAGAGAUGACAAUGUUUUAGGUUUUAUAUUUUACUCUGGCUUUUUUUUCAAAUAAAGUGGUUUUCUAUGUUAUUAUAAACUUGGUAACUAUCAUUGUGAUGAAUUAUUUUACCUCUACCAGUAUUUUUGAGGAAUCAAUUUGUGCCAAGCCCUGUUCUAAGUGGUUGAGAUGUAAAAAUCAAAAUCCUUGAAGGAUUAGAAUCUUCUAGGGUUUCUGACCUUAUAAAAUACAGCUUUUAUUAAACUGAAAAUAUGUGUUUAAACUAGCCAUUCUCAUGUUAUUGGACGUUUAGGUAGUUUAAUGUUUCUCAAAUUUGUAUAUGACACUAUCAUGGACAUUUUGUAUGUAAAGUAUUAUCUUUCUUCUGACCUGCCUCAAGAAGAAGAAAGAAG
rnacentral:lncRNA from 10 species